rnacentral:rRNA from 1 species
AGUGAACGCUGGCGGUAGGCCUAACACAUGCAAGUCGAACGGCAGCACAGUAAGAGUUUGCUCUUACGGGAGGCGAGUGGCGGACGGGUGAGGAAUACAUCGGAAUCUACUUUUUCGUGGGGGAUAACGUAGGGAAACUUCCGCUAAUACCGCAUACGACCUACGGGUGAAAUCAGCGGAUCUUCGGACCUUGCGCGAUUGAAUGAGCCGCUGUCGGAUUAGCUAGUUGGCGGGGUAAAGCCCCACCAAGGCGACGAUCCGUAGCUGGUCUGAGAGGAUGAUCAGCCACACUGGAACUGAGACACGGUCCAGACUCCUACGGGAGGCAGCAGUGGGGAAUAUGGGACAAUGUGCGCAAGCCUAAUCCAGCCAUACCGCGUGGGUGAAGAAGGCCGUCGGGUUGUAAAGCCCUUUUGUUGGGAAAGAAAAGCAGCAGGUUAAUACCCCGCUGUUCUGACGGUACCCAAAGAAUAAGCACCGGCUAACUUCGUG